AGAAGAUGCAUCGUUAUGAUUUACGACGAGAAGAUUGUUUGUGUUUCCAGAAGCGUUGGGUAUCUUUAGAGAGAUGAGAAUUGAAGGAGUUAAAUUGGAAUUGCAUGACUGUAUCUUGCUCAUUGCUGGUGCUCCACUUGGUGAAGAAUUGAAGGGGAUUUUGAUUCAUGUGUGAAGGUGGGAACCGGUUCUGCGUUACUCAACUUUGGAUCACCAGUGGAUGCAUCUCAGCUAUAUAAAUUACUCCAUGCCCUUCAUCCACAUCCUCAAUAGAAGAAAAAUUAGCAGGCAGAGGUGCACCUGGAACAUGUAUGUUGCUCGGAUUUUGUUGCUUUUGUCAUACAUACCAAAAUAAAUAGAAUAGUAGCUUGGUGCAUCUUCUCGAUGUUGUUUACUGCUCUGGAACUGUUAUCCUCAACUGGAUAGAUAGACCUCACCCUGUGUAGUUUCUUAA